rnacentral:rRNA from 1 species
AACGGCGAGUGAAGCGGCAGGAGCUCAAAUUUGAAAUCUGACCUCCUCCGGGGGUCYGAGUUGUAAUUUGCAGAGGAUGCUUCGGGUGCGGCCCCCGUCUAAGUUCCUUGGAACAGGACGUCAGAGAGGGUGAGAAUCCCGUCUUGGGCGGGCGGCCCGCGCCCGUGUGAAGAUCCUUCGACGAGUCGAGUUGUUUGGGAAUGCAGCUCUAAGCGGGUGGUAAAUUUCAUCUAAAGCUAAAUACUGGCCGGAGACCGAUAGCGCACAAGUAGAGUGAUCGAAAGGUUAAAAGCACCUUGAAAAGGGAGUUAAACAGCACGUGAAAUUGUUGAAAGGGAAGCGCUUGCGGCCAGACUCGGGGGCGGGGUUCAGCGGGCGCUCGUCGCCCGUGCACUCCCCGCGCCCCGGGCCAGCAUCAGUUUCGACGGCCGGUCAAAGGCCCCCGGAAUGUGUCGUCUCUAGGGACGUCUUAUAGCCGGGGGUGCAAUGCGGCCCGUCGGGACUGAGGAACGCGCUCCGGCUCGGAUGCUGGCGUAAUGGCCGUAAGCGGCCCGUCUUGAAACACGGACCAAGGAGUCUAACAUCCACGCGAGUGUUCGGGUGUCAAACCCGUGCGCGCAGUGAAAGCGAACGGAGGGGGGAGCCUUUGGGCGCACCAUCGACCGAUCCCGAAGUCUUUGGAUGGAUUUGAGUAGGAGCGUGGCCGUUGGGGCCCGAAAGAUGGUGAACUAUGCCCGAGUAGGGUGGAGCCCGAGGGGGCUCUGGGGGAGGCUCGCAGCGGUUCUGACGUGCAAAUCGA